AUUAUUUAGAGAGUAAUGAGUGCUCAGGAAAAGGAUCACAAGCUGUGGCAUGGGUGUCCAAGCUUUUGGCUUGCCUGGGCCACACUGAGAGAAGAGGAAUUGUCUUUGUUGGGAAUUUGUUGCUUCAGAAGUAAUGCCUCCUAUUUAUUUCCAUGUGUUGAACAGACAUCCUUUAUGCUAAGCCUCAGCCUUCUUCCCAUAAGCACCAAAGUCUUCUGCUUCUCCAGAGCAGCAGCUGCCUCUGUACCAGCUGUGAGUCCUCCUCACAGCCCCAUGCAGCUCAGGUCCCUCCUACAGACUCCUCCUGUUGCCCCAGCACAGCAGCUCAGAGGAUGCCGGUCCCUGCCUUUGUUCCUUCCUCUUGCUGAAGAAGAGAUGAGGGGACUUGGUGAGGGAGGGGGUGGAGAUGGGAAGGAUGGGUUCAUGGCAUCCUUGACUGUCAAAAGAAUUCCCAGGAAAUGAACGUCCCAUGUGAGCCCACGGGGUGAUCUGAAAUUUGGGUCUCUCCCGUUUAAUGGUGCACUUACAGGACAGGAUGUUCAGCGCUGGCAUUGAGGCAGCCGUGGGGGGAGGUGGGCAGGACCCCACCCUGCUGUGAUGGUAGGGAUGGGGUCUGGAUGUCCUCUCACGCAGCUUGAAGAGUGGUGGCCUGCUGGUGGUUUGUCCCUGAUGGAGGUGGAUCGACCUCCACUGGGUCUUCCCCAGGCCUUGAAUCCACCUCCAUGGGCUCCUCUCUGCUCUCAGGUGGGUCCCACCUCCAUUGGCUCAAUGGUGUGGAGCCUCCCCAUUAGCUGCUGCCUCUUGGUUGGUGGGCGCUCCAUUCUGCCUUCUGGGUAAAGGAAAUUGCUGUGCUCUGGAGCACAAAGUUGCCACUGGCAUCUCUUGCUCAGUGACUGGGGUUCUGGGUACAGAGUCCCCCUGUUUAUAGGGCUUGGAACCAAAGUCCGAUUUGUGAUAUCAGUAGGGCAUGGUGAUGCCAUUGUAACAAUGUCUCAUGGUGACAUUGUGGUGUUGGGAGCUGGUGCCUACGGCCUGCGAGUUGCCCCGGUGUUGAAGGAGGAGGAAGGAUAGAGGUGUUGAGGGCUGCUCUCCUGGUGAAUGCUACCCCGUGCCAUUUUGCUUGCUGAAGAGAAUGGUUUCCCCUUGGGCACAGGCAGCCACAGGAGCUCCAGCCACCUUCUCACUCCAAGUAUGGGAUCCCUUUGAUGAGAAGGUGGCAAAUCUGUCCCAAGAGGGCUGGGGAUGGUCUCCACUAUUCUGACCCAGCUGUCUGCAAGUGGAGCCUCUUGGAGAUGUGGAGCUGCUGCUGUCACUGGGGAAGAAGUAGUUGCAAAGCCAUGUGAGGGGCUGAGCAGCAAUCAACCAGUUGGGCUGGGUGUGGUUGGCAGGCAGCUCUGCAGAUGCUGUAAGUAAAGAGGUGGGGAUUGAUCAUUUGUAGAACAUCAGAUCCCUGAGUGAUCGUAGCCAGCUUGUUCUGCUACUUGAAAUAAAUUGCUGUAGCUGGUGGGUAGUGUGUGCUGUGAUACCUCCAGAGAUGCUUCUGGGUACAUCUAUAUCUCAUGUAGCUCAAAUAUCCUUCUGUCAUAGUUCAUAUAAAAACCACACUCCUAGAUGAGAUGAUUUAUGCACACUCCUCUGGAAGCUGCAUACAACCUACUUUGUUUCUCUAUCAGUAUUUAUUUAUAAUAAUGGGUUUUUAAAAGUCUUCUAAGCCAUAAUACAGUUGAAU
ensembl:lncRNA